GGUCGCAUGUCUUGGGUACGGAUUCCCGUCGCAGCCAGAGAGCCCCACGAGCUCGGGUGGCCGAAGUUCCUUCGUGAGGACGGCAGGUGACCCCGGAGGCCCAAAUGGUCAGUCAUUCGAGGCCCCAGAAGCCCCAGAGAAUUCCUGCAGCCUGCAUGUCCAGGGACAUACCUUGGGAGAACAGCAGAAUGUGGGAACAGAAGAAUGAGGACCACUCCCAAGAGCCACUCCCAAGAGCCAAUGGCCAACCUUCCUAUCUUUGGAUAAGGUGAAGAGAAGGAAAAAAAAUGCACAGGGGAAGUGGUAAGAUGCUGUGUGAUGCUCCUCCCCACAGACCUCCCCUGGUCAGGGGCCAGUUAAUGGGUUGGGCUUAAAGAUUUUGUCUUCAGAAGCAAUAGCAGAGUAGAUGUCCUUGUUUUUACUUCCAAUCUCACCCUGAGGGGUCAUACCUACUGUGGAACACAGCAUUAGAGCACAACUCUAGGCGUUAAAUGUGGCAAAGAGAGGGAAAAAUAAACAAAAUUGUUGGAAUUAA